rnacentral:rRNA from 1 species
AACGAACGCUGGCGGCGUGGAUAAGACAUGCAAGUCGAACGGGACAAGUAGCAAUAUUUGUCUAGUGGCGAACGGGUGCGUAACACGUGGGCAACAUGCCUGGAAGAGCGGGAUAGCCCGGGGAAACUCGGAUUAAUACCGCAUGUGACAACGGGGCGGAUUCGCCCUGUUUUCAAAGGUGGGGACCGCAAGGCCUGCCGCUUCCAGAUUGGCCCGCGUCCUAUCAGCUAGUUGGCGGGGUAACGGCCCACCAAGGCGACGACGGGUAGCUGGUCUGAGAGGACGACCAGCCACACUGGAACUGAGACACGGUCCAGACACCUACGGGUGGCAGCAGUCGAGAAUCUUUCACAAUGGGGGAAACCCUGAUGGAGCGACGCCGCGUGGAGGAUGACGGUCUUCGGAUUGUAACUCCUGUCAUGAAAGAACAAGCGGAGCGGGUGAACAGCCCGCCGAGUUGAUAGUAUUUCAAGAGGAAGGGACGGCUAACUUCGUGCCAGCCGCCGCCGUAACAC